CAGUCGCCGCGGUAAUACGUAGGGUGCAAGCGUUAAUCGGAAUUACUGGGCGUAAAGCGUGCGCAGGCGGUUAUAUAAGACAGAUGUGAAAUCCCCGGGCUCAACCUGGGAACUGCAUUUGUGACUGUAUAGCUAGAGUACGGCAGAGGGGGAUGGAAUUCCGCGUGUAGCAGUGAAAUGUGUAGAUAUGCGGAGGAACACCGAUGGCGAAGGCAAUCCCCUGGGCCUGUACUGACGCUCAUGCACGAAAGCGUGGGGAGCAAACAGGAUUAGAUACCCGGGUAGUCCCUGUCUCUUAUAC
rnacentral:rRNA from 1 species